ACUCAAAGGAAUUGACGGGGGCCCGCACAAGCAGCGGAGCGUGCGGUUUAAUUCGAUGGUACGCGAAGAACCUUACCCAGACUUGACAUGCGAGUGGUAGGAAGCCGAAAGGUAACCGACCCGCAAGGGAGCUCGUACAGGUGUUGCACGGCUGUCGUCAGCUCGUGUCGUGAGAUGUUGGGUUAAGUCCCGCAACGAGCGCAACCCUCGGGGUCUGUUGUAUCUCUCAGAUCCCACUGCCGAGAGAAACUCGGAGGAAGGUGGGGACGAAGUCAAGUCCGCGUGGCCUUUAUGUCUGGGGCUACACGCACGCUACAAUCGCCGGUCACAGCGGGUCGCGACAACGCAAGUUGAAGCUAAUCCCUUAAAACCGGCGUCAGUUCAGAUCGAAGGCUGCAACCCGCCUUCGUGAAGUCGGAGUUGCUAGUAACCGCGGGUCAGCACACCGCGGUGAAUAUGUUCCCGGGCCUUGUACACACCGCCCGU
rnacentral:rRNA from 1 species